UAGGGAAUUCUUCCACAAUGGGCGAAAGCCUGAUGGAGCAACGCCGCGUGUGUGAUGAAGGGUUUCGGCUCGUAAAACACUGUUGUAAGAGAAGAAUGACAUUGAGAGUAACUGUUCAAUGUGUGACGGUAUCUUACCAGAAAGGAACGGCUAAAUACGUG
rnacentral:rRNA from 1 species